UACGUAGGGGGCUAGCGUUGUCCGGAAUCAUUGGGCGUAAAGCGCGUGUAGGCGGUCCGGUAAGUCCGCUGUGAAAGUCGGGGGCUCAACCCUCGAAUGCCGGUGGAUACUGUCGGGCUAGAGUGCGGAAGAGGCGAGUGGAAUUCCUGGUGUAGCGGUGAAAUGCGCAGAUAUCAGGAGGAACACCAAUUGCGAAGGCAGCUCGCUGGGACGUUAACUGACGCUGAGACGCGAAAGCUGGGGAGCGAACAGG
rnacentral:rRNA from 1 species